CUGUAUUUACCCUGGCUGCUGCACGGCCUUGACCCUGGAGGCUUGUUCUACUCAAUUUGCCACUGAGGCUGAUUGUGCUUCAUGUUAACACAUAUGAUGGCACAUCUGAUUUCAUAAGCUUUGGCUGCAGGAGUUUCAGGACUGGCACAGCUGAAAGAAAUUGCACUCAGCAAAUCAGAUUUUUCCAACAGGCUGACCCUGCAUCAUUGACCACCAUUCCCACACCUUCUAAAUGACUUCCAAAACUCUGUAGUUCUUUGCUGCAGUAUGAAGAGAUGAGUUUGUGUGCAAAACACAGUUUUUUGCUUAAUGCCCAAUAAAAAGUUAUUGCAUAUG